rnacentral:sRNA from 1 species
CGGCUGCAGGGGCCUAUGUCCAUAUGGUCACUCAUUUCAUUCAGGCUGGCCUGCUGUCUGCCUUGGGCUCCCUGAUAUUGAUGAUUUGGCUGAUGGCAACACCUCAUAGCCAUGAAACUGAACAGAAAAGACUGGGACUUCUUGCUGGAUUUGCAUUCCUUACAGGAGUUGGCCUGGGCCCUGCCCUGGAGUUUUGUAUUGCCGUCAACCCCAGCAUCCUUCCCACUGCUUUCAUGGGCACAGCAAUGAUCUUUACCUGCUUCACCCUCAGUGCACUCUAUGCCAGGCGCCGUAGCUACCUCUUUCUGGGAGGUAAGUGUGAACUGGGAAACAGGGAAUGGGGGCUCCUCUUUAGCCAGAAUUCUCACUAGUACUCCUUCCUUACCCCUAACUCCUUUGCGACUAUUGAGUUGAGAUUAACCUUCAUUCUGGGGGAAGUUAAGGAAUGGCUUUAAUGGGAUUGCUUUACUUUGCCUUGGCUUCUCUCAAGACAGCUUUUUGCUGUGUCUUAUAGGUAUCUUGAUGUCAGCCCUGAGCUUG